UACAGAGGUCUCAAGCGUUGUUCGGAUUCAUUGGGCGUAAAGGGUGCGUAGGUGGCGCCAUAAGUCAGGUGUGAAAUCUCGGGGCUCAACCCCGAAACUGCACUUGAUACUGUGGUGCUGGAGUACUGGAGAGGAGAUUGGAAUUUACGGUGUAGCAGUGAAAUGCGUAGAUAUCAAGAGGAACACCAGUGGCGAAGGCGAGUCCCUGGACAACUUCUGACGCUGAGGCACGAAAGCUAGGGGAGCAAACAGG
rnacentral:rRNA from 1 species